GACGAACGCUGGCGGCGUGCUUAACACAUGCAAGUCGAACGGAAAGGCCCUGCUUUUGUGGGGUGCUCGAGUGGCGAACGGGUGAGUAACACGUGAGUAACCUGCCCUUGACUUUGGGAUAACUUCAGGAAACUGGGGCUAAUACCGGAUAGGAGCUCCUGCUGCAUGGUGGGGGUUGGAAAGUUUCGGCGGUUGGGGAUGGACUCGCGGCUUAUCAGCUUGUUGGUUGGGUAGUGGCUUACCAAGGCUUUGACGGGUAGCCGGCCUGAGAGGGUGACCGGCCACAUUGGGACUGAGAUACGGCACAGACUCGUACGGGAGGCAGCAGUGGGGAAUAGUGCAUAAUGGGAGGAAGGCUGAUGCAGCAAAGCCGCGUGCGGGAUGACGGCCUGCGGGUUGUAAACCGCUUUCGCCUGUGACGAGGCGUGAGUGACGGUAACGGGUAAAGAAGCACCGGCUAACUACGUG
rnacentral:rRNA from 1 species